UACGUAGGGUGCGAGCGUUAAUCGGAAUUACUGGGCGUAAAGCGUGCGCAGGCGGUUUGCUAAGACCGAUGUGAAAUCCCCGGGCUUAACCUGGGAACUGCAUUGGUGACUGGCAGGCUAGAGUAUGGCAGAGGGGGAUGGAAUUCCGCGUGUAGCAGUGAAAUGCGUAGAUAUGCGGAGGAACACCGAUGGCGAAGGCAAUCCCCUGGACCUGUACUGACGCUCAUGCACGAAAGCGUGGGGAGCAAACAGG
rnacentral:rRNA from 1 species